rnacentral:rRNA from 1 species
CGUGUGCUUACAAGUAGUCAGAGCCCGUUAAUGGGUGAUGGCGUGCCUUUUGUAGAAUGAACCGGCGAGUUACGAUUUGAUGCAAGGUUAAGCAGUAAAUGUGGAGCCGUAGCGAAAGCGAGUCUGAAUAGGGCGUUUAGUAUUUGGUCGUAGACCCGAAACCAGGUGAUCUACCCUUGGUCAGGUUGAAGUUCAGGUAACACUGAAUGGAGGACCGAACCGACUUACGUUGAAAAGUGAGCGGAUGAACUGAGGGUAGCGGAGAAAUUCCAAUCGAACCUGGAGAUAGCUGGUUCUCUCCGAAAUAGCUUUAGGGCUAGCCUCAAGUGAUGAUUAUUGGAGGUAGAGCACUGUUUGGACGAGGGGCCCCUCUCGGGUUACCGAAUUCAGACAAACUCCGAAUGCCAAUUAAUUUAACUUGGGAGUCAGAACAUGGGUGAUAAGGUCCGUGUUCGAAAGGGAAACAGCCCAGACCACCAGCUAAGGUCCCAAAAUAUAUGUUAAGUGGAAAAGGAUGUGGCGUUGCCCAGACAACUAGGAUGUUGGCUUAGAAGCAGCCAUCAUUUAAAGAGUGCGUAAUAGCUCACUAGUCGAGUGACACUGCGCCGAAAAUGUACCGGGGCUAAACAUAUUACCGAAGCUGUGGAUUGUCCUUUGGACAAUGGUAGGAGAGCGUUCUAAGGGCGUUGAAGCAUGAUCGUAAGGACAUGUGGAGCGCUUAGAAGUGAGAAUGCCGGUGUGAGUAGCGAAAGACGGGUGAGAAUCCCGUCCACCGAUUGACUAAGGUUUCCAGAGGAAGGCUCGUCCGCUCUGGGUUAGUCGGGUCCUAAGCUGAGGCCGACAGGCGUAGGCGAUGGAUAACAGGUUGAUAUUCCUGUACCACCUAUAAUCGUUUUAAUCGAUGGGGGGACGCAGUAGGAUAGGCGAAGCGUGCGAUUGGAUUGCACGUCUAAGCAGUAAGGCUGAGUAUUAGG